rnacentral:rRNA from 1 species
GGGUUGUGAGGUUAAGCGACUAAGCGUACACGGUGGAUGCCCUGGCAGUCAGAGGCGAUGAAGGGCGUGCUAAUCUGCGAUAAGCGCCGGUAAGGUGAUAUGAACCGUUAUAACCGGCGAUACCCGAAUGGGGAAACCCAGUGUGACUCGUCACACUAUCAUUAACUGAAUCCAUAGGUUAAUGAGGCGAACCGGGGGAACUGAAACAUCUAAGUACCCCGAGGAAAAGAAAUCAACCGAGAUUCCCCCAGUAGCGGCGAGCGAACGGGGAGGAGCCCAGAGCCUGAAUCAGCAUGUGUGUUAGUGGAAGCGUCUGGAAAGGCGCGCGAUACAGGGUGACAGCCCCGUACACAAAAGCGCAUGUGCUGUGAGCUCGAUGAGUAGGGCGGGACACGUGGUAUCCU